rnacentral:rRNA from 1 species
CCCUUAUAGCCCGUACCCUAAACCGACACAGGUGGAUAGGUAGAGUAUACCAAGGCGCUUGAGAGAACUCUGCUGAAGGAACUCGGCAAAUUGCACGCGUAACUUCGGAAGAAGCGUGACCCUUAUGCACGCAAGUGUAUGAGGGUGGCACAGACCAGGGGGUAGCGACUGUUUAUCAAAAACACAGGGCUCUGCGAAGUCGCAAGACGACGUAUAGGGUCUGACGCCUGCCCGGUGCUGGAAGGUUAAAGGGAGAGGUGCGAGCUUUGAACUGAAGCCCCAGUAAACGGCGGCCGUAACAAUAACGGUCCUAAGGUAGCGAAAUUCCUUGUCGGGUAAGUUCCGACCUGCACGAAUGGCGUAACGACCUCCCCGCUGUCUCCAGCAGAGACUCAGUGAAAUUGAAUUCCCCGUGAAGAUGCGGGGUUCCUGCGGUUAGACCGAAAGACCCCGUGCACCUUUACUAUAGCUUUACACUGGCAUUCGUGUCGGCAUGUGUAGGAUAGGUGGUAGACUUUGAAGCUAGGGCGCCAGCUCUGGUGGAGUCAUCCUUGAAAUACCACCCUUAUCUAUAUGGAUGUCUAACCGCGACCCGUUAUCCGGGCCCGGGACAGUGUAUGGUGGGUAGUUUGACUGGGGCGGUCGCCUCCUAAAGAGUAACGGAGGCGCGCGAUGGUGGGCUCAGAACGGUCGGAAAUCGUUCGCUGAGUGCAAUGGCAUAAGCCUGCCUGACUGCGAGACUGACAAGUCGAGCAGAGACGAAAGUCGGUCAUAGUGAUCCGGUGGUCCCGCGUGGAAGGGCCAUCGCUCAACGGAUAAAAGGUACGCCGGGGAUAACAGGCUGAUGACCCCCAAGAGUCCAUAUCGACGGGGUUGUUUGGCACCUCGAUGUCGACUCAUCGCAUCCUGGGGCUGGAGCAGGUCCCAAGGGUAUGGCUGUUCGCCAUUUAAAGCGGUACGUGAGUUGGGUUCAGAACGUUGUGAGACAGUUCGGUCCCUAUCUGCCGUGGGUGUAGGAAUAUUGACAGGAUCUGUCCCUAGUACGAGAGGACCGGGAUGGACGUAUCUCUGGUGGACCUGUUGUGGCGCCAGCCGCAUAGCAGGGUAGCUAUACACGGACGGGAUAACCGCUGAAGGCAUCUAAGCGGGAAACCCACCUGAAAACGAGUAUUCCCUGAGAGCCGUGGAAGACGACCACGUUGAUAGGCCGGGUGUGGAAGUGCGGCAACGCAUGAAGCUUACCGGUACUAAUAGCUC